rnacentral:rRNA from 1 species
UACGUAGGUGGCGAGCGUUAUCCGGAUUUAUUGGGUUUAAAGGGAGCGUAGGCGGCUAAUUAAGUCAGUGGUUAAAGGUAGCAGCUUAACUGUUUUACAUGCCAUUGAUACUGGUUAGCUUGAGUUGACGGAAGGCAGAUAGAAUUUCUGGUGUAGCGGUGAAAUGCUUAGAUACCAGAAGGAAUACCGAUUGCGAAGGCAGUCUGCUGCAGUCACACUGACGCUGAGGCUCGAAAGUGCGGGGAUCAAACAGG